CCUGAGUAACAAUCCAUGAAAAGUGGGCGUCAUUGCUGAAGCUCAAGGAAGAAAUAUGAAAUUUGAUUAUAUCCUUAUUCACGGCAUUGGGUCACCAACUCAGCACUUUUUAUGAAAGUAGCAUCUGACCUGGCAAAGGCUGUGUCAUCUUAUUACCUCAGAAAGACAAAUUUACGGGGUCAGACGAUGGAUGGCUUGUAGAUUUCUCAAUGGGCUGGAAGGAAGGAGAGAAAAAGAGAGACAGGAGAGAGUACACAUUUAAUUCUGCUUCCCCUAGGGUGAUAUUUCCUUCCUCCCCUUCCAGGGUUCUCAAAAAGGCAUUCUAGGAAGUCCUGUAAAAUACAUGCUCAUAAAAAUCUCAUAAUUUCCACAAAUUGUUGAGAAUUUAAAACUCGGUUGGGAGUUUGCUGUUUCAGCCUGAGACACCGGGGUCACGUUUCAGUGCCUGCAGUCUUGAGACAGUACCAGGCAUCUGGGAUGAAGCUGAGGAAAGAAGAUGUGGGGGCCCUGCUGGCCUGCUCCUUCUCUCGAAAGACGCUUACCGGCUGCUGGUGUGUCACAGGGCUUUAGGAUUUGGAAAAACAGAGGGAUUUAAAAGAAGAUAGAAUGGUCAGAAUUUCGAGAACUGUGUGCUGAAGUGCCAUCUUUAGGGUGCUCAUAACACGGCCUUACAACAUUAGAGGUGCUGGAAUCAUGGAAGAGGCAUCUGGACUCUGUAAUGUCCUUCCCCCUGGAAAAUCUGCUCCAGAAGUGGGGGAUUGGGAGCUGUCAACAUAUGAGCCAUCUUUUGCUCCGUUCAAGAUGGUAGGGGCAUUCUCAACAUGCCCCUCACUCUGAUUCUGCCUCACUUUUAUUUUAGAAUUUUCCACUGCCUUUUCUGGAAUGUGCUUUUUCAACCCUCAAAAUCUGUAGAGAAGAAAUAAGCAGAAACCGAAAUGGCUUUCUGGUGUUCUCCAUGCUCUCAGCUUACUGGAAAAUCGAGCCGCAGGCUCGAGGCUGGACUUUAAGGCAGAGCACUGCAAUUAUAGUGCUAUGGCCUUGGCUUCCUUUCUCAUCACCCAGGUACAGUCCUGCAGUCCUCAGAGGAUGCCAGUCCCACACAGGGGGAUCCUUCUCCAUAGGAAAACCGAGGAACAAUGCAGGUUCGAGGUGCACAGUGGCUAAGCACACUCAGUCCUCAAGAUCUUUCCUCUCAAAUGCUAAUGCUACCUUCAGAUGGGCUGCUGCCUGCUACCAUUUCAACAUUGAGUCCUUUAAGAUGCCAUCAGAGAGAGGGGAAGCAAGAGGCCAAGAAAAAUGAAAGGAUAAUCCUGAGUUUAUAGAAUUUCAUCACAGUGUGUGAAACUGGUUUUUAACUUCACUAUACUGGCCCUCAGCGGUGGAGUCAACUGGGCACUGAAUAGAAAAAUCUCCCUCCUCCGUGUUGUCCCCAGCCCACCACAUUUCGCCCUAAGCUCUGCCCUGCACCAACACCAGCCUUCUUCUGGAGUUUGGCAGCUGUGGCAACUGCUGGCUGUCUCUCAACCACUUCACAAUAUGUAUCAAUGUAUUCUACAAAUCAUUGUAUUUGCCAAGCAUUCUACUACUACACAGUUCUGAUUCAACUGACGUGUAUCUUAGAGGUCAAUAUAUUUUCUUUUUCCCUUAGCUUGGCUAGGACUCCAUAGGAAACAGCUAUUUGAGUGAUGAUAUAUAGGAGAAGGAUAGUACUGUAUUUAACUGUCUGUUAAUAUCAGAGAAGAUGAAUAUUUUUCACCUCCCUGUACAUAGCUAUGCAUAAGCUUGGUAUUCAUUUAUGAACAAUGUAGCAUUUUCAAAGGCACAACUGAUUUACUUACAUUAAGUCAAUAUAAAUAAAUUAUGUUAGUAGAUUGCGAAUUUUGAAAGUUGUAAUCAACAUCAAAAAUGAAAUGUCUUGGUUGUCCAACUUAAAUUAUAUAAUGCAAUUUCAACACAGUAAAAAAAAAAUCACCUAGCGUAAUAGUGAGAGUUUGAAUCAUUAUUAGUUAGAUUCUUGUUUGUAUUAAUUAAGAAUUUCACAGACAUUGUUUGUAAGUGAAAAAGAUAUUUUAAAUAAGUAUUUAGAACAAUUUUUGUUUUGUGAUCCUUCAUGCUGCCUGUUGAAUGAGUUAAGCAAAAAAGAAUUACAAAUGGUUUAAACAGAAAAGGAUUGGCAAAUAAAUAAACUAGAGUUGUGCUGGAGAAAAGUGCAAAACCCUUGACUCAUUUUAAAGAUAUUUUAAAUAAAAUAUUAGUGAUCAUUUAAAUUAAUAAACAGUUCUAAGUUUAAAAAAAUCAGGAAAACUUUAAUUACAUUGAAAAUUACCAAUGUGUCCUGUGUUCUACCAAAGUUUAGAAAAUUCUAUUUACAAUUAGAUGACCUUGGAGAUUGAGAUUAAAAAGGUGAGUUAGUUCCCAGUCCAUAUUUAACAUUUUUUUUUGUACAGAAUCCCAUUAUUAUUUUCUCCCUUAGAAAAAAUUAGAAGCUAAGUUAUGCUAUGUUUAGGACAGAUAUGACUCUGUUUUGGCAGGUAAUGGAUGUCAGGAAUGAUUUUCUAAUGGCUAGUACAAUGUUUUGGGGUUUUUUAUUUUUUAAUAUUAUUUUGUAAUUGACAAAUAACAAUUGUACAACAGCACAAUGUUUGGUUGUGAUUUCUACUACUGUCAAAUGUUGUCUUCUGGUGACUAGACCUUUCGCUUUUUGACUGUGUUUAAGCUGGAAGCCCUAAAGCCACUGCAGGGUCAAGCGUCCCCAGUGCAGUGAUGGUCAUGGGGCCGUCACUACCCACUGAAAGCUGGGAGAGGACAGCCCUGGCGGGGUCUGCAGUGAUGGUCACAGGGCCGUCACUACCCACUGAAAGCUGGGAGAGGACAGCCCUGGCGGGGUCAACUCCCCCCCGAUGCAGUGAUGGUCACGGGGCCGUCACUACCCACUGAAAGCUGGGGGAAGACAGCCCUGGCGGGGCCAAGGAGCUUGCAGUGUCCCAUCAACCCUCCUGGAGAGAUGCCUGAGACCCGGUUUUACCUAUGAGUCUGGCCUCAGGACAGGAAAGAUGGGGACACGCACAGCUGAGGCAAGAGCCAUGACAGGGCAUCUGCUGUCAGCCACAUCCACCCCAGAGGGAAGCAUGCCCUUACCCCAGAGGUGAGGACACAGAGAUCCAGAGGCGGCGCUGGUGCCCUUCACUGGGGCCACACCACAGGGCCUUUCCUUCCUUUGUCAACCUUGCUCUGUGGGCCAGGGGAGCUCACUCAACCUCACUCUCUUUAAACCCUUCAUGCCAACCCAGAAUCUGGCUCUGCUCAUCCUUGCUACGCUAGAGUGGGCUUUACUGUUACUCAGAGGCUGACAAAAAUACUUGAGAAGAGUCACUUCCAGCACGACAGAAGGAGGAGGCUGACAAAUCAUCUUACCUAAAAGCAACUAUUAUGCCGGACAAAAGUGUCAAAAUAAUCCUUAUGGCACUCCCGAAAAUGGCCAAGUCUCUGGCUCAGCUCUGGCACUGAAGGUGGUCAGCCCAGACAAGGCAGGCACUGCAGAGGGGCUCACUGAUUCUGAGUGUGGUCGGUGAAAGUGGUGGUCCUGGGGGCAAGCAGACAGGGAAGGUGGCAGCUCCACCACCUGGGGCCGUGGUCAGUCACAUUCAGGCAAGCAGCAGGCUGACAGGUCCUUCCUUCCUGCCUGCCUUCCUUCCUUCCUUUUUUCCUUCCUUCCUUUUUUCCUUCCUUCCUUUUUUCCCUCCUUCCUUCCUUCCUUCCUCCUUUCUUCCUUCCUCCCUCCCUUUACAUUACAG
rnacentral:lncRNA from 1 species